CUGGGAAAUGCCGUAGCCUACUUUCUAACUACCUCUAACCACACUGACCUGUUUGUGGAGUGCCUUUCCCUGAAACUCACUCUUGAGCCAGGGAAUACCCAUUUGUCCAUUCUCCUUCCAGAGCUAAAGAGUUCUUACUACUUCAUUUCAACUCAGUUGCUGAGGAUAGGGAGAGUUGGUUAAGGUCUUGAUAUGGGUAGAAGAGCUUUGUUAACACCCAAACAUCUAAAGACCUUGGAUGAGGGAGAUUCUUCUUCCUGAAAUGGAUAAACCCAGGCUCCAUUCAUGUGACAUACAGUCCAAUUCCCACAGUUUUUGCAGUUUCCCGGAGGCCAAUAUCUUUUUCCUACACCUUUAAAUGUAUGCAGGUUGGAGUAUAUCGUUUCACUGAGUAAGCCUUGAGAGGAGGCAUAGUUUCAAUAUAUUCACCCAUGUUGUGGAGACAUCGAGAUGCAGCUCCCAGGCAGGAUCAAUCAUGCCUCAGAUGUUCCUGGUAUCGUGGGAAUAACGAUCUUGUGGUAUCUUGCAAAGUGGAAAUUGAGGAUGGGAGACAAUUCUGCUUACCUGGGAGAUGGAUCCAAACAUGGACCGCAUCCUACCCUCCCAGGCAUCCAAACAAAGCAGCUCUAUUUUCUCCUGAUGGAAGUCCUUCAGAGAUGAAGAGGUGUCCUCUGUUACUGAGGCCAUGGCUUCUCUAAAGGUUCAUAAACGGCAAUGGAGAAGGAUACUACAGUGACAACCCCAUUACUUACGUGGGGUCAGGUGAGGCGUUUAACCACUAAAGGACUAAAAAGUGUUGUCUUGAAUGGGAAAGUCCUUUACUUCUGAGCAUUUAUUUUUAGCAAUGUGUGCUUUACUUAUGGUAUCUUCUGCUGAGGUCAAUGUGAGCUAUUGGGCUUAUAUUCCUAAUUCACCUUUAUUUGAGCCUCCUACUAGCGGGG
rnacentral:lncRNA from 1 species